rnacentral:rRNA from 1 species
CCUACGGGUGGCAGCAGUGAGGAAUAUUGGUCAAUGGGCGAGAGCCUGAACCAGCCAAGCCGCGUGAGGGAAGACGGUCCUAUGGAUUGUAAACUUCUUUUGUCGGGGAAUAAACGCACAUACGUGUGUGCGGAUGAAAGUACCCGACGAAUAAGCAUCGGCUAACUCCGUGCCAGCAGCCGCGGUAAUACGGAGGAUGCAAGCGUUAUCCGGAUUUAUUGGGUUUAAAGGGUGCGUAGGCGGACCGUUAAGUUAGCGGUAAAAGAUCGGGGCUCAACGGCGGAACUGCCGUUGAUACUGUCAGUCUAGAGAGUACGAGAGGUAGGUGGAAUGUGUGGUGUAGCGGUGAAAUGCUUAGAGAUCACGCAGAACACCGAUUGCGAAGGCAGCUUACC